UACGGGGGGAGCAAGCGUUGUUCGGAUUUACUGGGCGUAAAGGGCGCGUAGGCGGCCACUGCAAGUCGGUUGUGAAAUCUCCGGGCUUAACCCGGAAAGGUCAACCGAUACUGCAGGGCUAGAGUGCAGAAGGGGCAACUGGAAUUCUCGGUGUAGCGGUGAAAUGCGCAGAUAUCAGGAGGAACACCGGUGGCGAAGGCGGGUCUCUGGGCCGAUACUGACGCAGAGGAGCGAAAGCGUGGGGAGCGAACAGG
rnacentral:rRNA from 1 species